AUUUAUUUAUUUAUUUAUUUAUUUAUUUAGAGAGACAAAGAGAGAGCACGAACAGGGGAGGGGCAGAGAGAGGAGGAGACACAGAAUCCAAAGCAGGCUCUGGGCUCUGAGCCGUCAGCACAGAGCCCGACGCGGGGCUCGAACCCACGGACCGCGAGAUCAUGACCUGAGCUGAAGUUGGACGCUCAACCGACUGAGGCCCCCAGGGAACCCCUUCCGGUCUUUUUAAACAGGUAUGUACUUUCUAUAAAUCAUGACAAGAGGGCACGUUUGCUGUCCUUGAGAACAAGAACGAAGAGAAAGCUACCUAGCAAGUCAGGCUGUGGCCCUUCCCUCCCCCGAGACCCCAUCCACGGCCUCUUCUUCCCCUUCAAACUUCUAUUGCCUUGAACACCCUGGGGGGGCGGGGGCUAGUUUCCACUUUUCAUAAGGCAUCCCGGCCCCCCGCGCUGUCCCCGAGCUGCAGGCCCCGGUGUGCGUCCCCACGUGGGACGGGGAGGCCGGCCUCCGGCGCUCGCCGUGAGCUUCUGGAUGGUAACAGGGCCCUCUGCCAGCUGGAAGGGGGCACACCCUGGGGGUCCGUGCUGCUGGGUCUAGGAAUCCCCCUGCCCCCGCCGAACAGCUUCCCCCACCGCCCGAGGCGGAGGCUCCGGGGUGUUGCUGCCGGAUCUUCGACAAACAACAGGAACGACGGCGGUGAGUUGCGGUCAUUCCUGGAAAGGAUUACUGUGCGACCUUCCAAGGGAACCAGAGAGAUCCACCUGAGCGGACGCAGAGCUGCCCCCAUCAGCCGACGCGCCCAGGCGGCCGCAGGGCGCUGGGGCCAACGGGACCCCGGACGGACGCACACAGGUGCGCGUUUGUGGGCACGCACGCCCGGGGCCGGGGUGCCUCGAACGCUUCUCAUGAAAUGGCUCACUGUUACCGGAGGACAACUAAACACGCUUCUGAAGACGGCAGCUGGGCCACGGGCCAAGGGGAGGAGGCUGGAUGGGUUGCUGGUAAGACCUCCGGCUUCCCCCAGGAGCUCCACGGGGGCCCCCGCUCACUUUCCUGGGGUCCAGACACCACGAUUCUAGCAGGGGGACUGCAGGGGCAGCUGUGGAACCUCAGCCUCCGGCGAUGCUCCUCUCGACCUUCCCCCCAGCCUCCACCGGCCUCCCCCCGGCCUCCCCCCAGCCUCUCCCCAGCCUCCCCCCAGCCUCCAGUGAUGCUCC
rnacentral:lncRNA from 1 species